rnacentral:rRNA from 1 species
AUUGAACGCUGGCGGCAGGCCUAACACAUGCAAGUCGAACGAGUGGCGGACGGGUAAGUAAUGUUUGGGCCACUGUCUGAUGGAGGGGGAUAACUACUGGCAACGGUAGACAAUACCGCAUACUAUCGUAUGUGCCCAGAUGGGAUUAGCUGGUAGGUGGGGUAAAGGCUCACCUAGGCGACGAUCCCUAGCUGGUCUGCGAGGAGGACGAGCCACACUGGAACUGAGACACGGUCCAGACUCCUACGGGAGGCAGCAGUGGGGAAUAUUGCACAAUGGGCGCAAGCCUGAUGCAGCCAUGCCGCGUGUGUGAAGAAGGCCUUCGGGUUGUAAAGCACUUUCAGCGGGGAGGCGUUACCCGCAGAAGAAGCACCGGCUAACUCCGUGCCAACAGCCGCGGUAAUAC